CUGUUCAUAACCCAAAAAAAAAAAAACUGGGAGAUCCGACGGCGACGGACCCAGGUAGUCCAGAAUCGCCGGUGGAGGUGAGCAAGACUCAUCUGAUCCCGCCUUUGAAAUCAGAUACAGCCGUGAGAGUCAGAGUUACAGCUACCAUCAGGCUUGACUUGGUCACCGUUUAAUCUCGGUUCUGAUUUUGUAAGGUUCAUCCAUCUCAAUGUAGCUACUUGGCACACGAACUCAUUGUUUGGUAUCAGGGACAAGAAGUUUCAAUGGUUUCUGGAUUAGGUGAAGGCACAUCCCGUAGAGCUCAUUGCCAGCUAGGUUCUCCCAUUACAAAGGUUAUUCUUAAUAUUCAUCCUACUGGAUUGUAAAUUCCUGUUUGAGCUUUCCGGUCUCCACAUGCGCGCUACUAUAAUAAUGUCUUCCAUGGCUGUAAUGACCAAACUGAUAUUGACGACGUAACGGUAACAUGCUGCUGAAUGGCUAAGGGAUUUCUCAUCAGCCACGAACAUGAUUAGGUGCAUUUAUCAGUUCUAGAUGCUCAUAGUGAGUCUUCCUUGAACAAUAUUGUGGAGGGUUCAAGAACUGUUGGCCCAUGAGUGUUGGAGCUUGUUGGAGCUCAUUGCCAUCUAAGCUUUGCCAUGAACAUGCUUCUAUCAUCAUAUGCUCUAAGGAAGAUGAUGACCAUUACGAUAAUGACUUUUCCAGUGGAUCGUCUGCUUACGAAGAGUUUCUUGACCAGAA